rnacentral:rRNA from 1 species
UCCCCCCUGAGUACACGUGGGUAACCUGCCUGUAAGACUGGGAUAACUCCGGGAAACCGGGGCUAAUACCGGAUGCUUGAUUGAACCGCAUGGUUCAAUUAUAAAAGGUGGCUUUUAGCUACCACUUACAGAUGGACCCGCGGCGCAUUAGCUAGUUGGUGAGGUAACGGCUCACCAAGGCGACGAUGCGUAGCCGACCUGAGAGGGUGAUCGGCCACACUGGGACUGAGACACGGCCCAGACUCCUACGGGAGGCAGCAGUAGGGAAUCUUCCGCAAUGGACGAAAGUCUGACGGAGCAACGCCGCGUGAGUGAUGAAGGUUUUCGGAUCGUAAAACUCUGUUGUUAGGGAAGAACAAGUACCGUUCGAAUAGGGCGGUACCUUGACGGUACCUAACCAGAAAGCCACGGCUAACUACGUGCCAGCAGCCGCGGUAAUACGUAGGUGGCAAGCGUUGUCCGGAAUUAUUGGGCGUAAAGCGCGCGCAGGCGGUUUCUUAAGUCUGAUGUGAAAGCCCCCGGCUCAACCGGGGAGGGUCAUUGGAAACUGGGGAACUUGAGUGCAGAAGAGGAGAGUGGAAUUCCACGUGUAGCGGUGAAAUGCGUAGAGAUGUGGAGGAACACCAGUGGCGAAGGCGACUCUCUGGUCUGUACUGACGCUGAGGCGCGAAAGCGUGGGGAGCGAACAGGAUUAGAUACCCUGGUAGUCCACGCCGUAAACGAUGAGUGCUAAGUGUUAGAGGGUUUCCGCCCUUUAGUGCUGCAGCAAACGCAUUAAGCACUCCGCCUGGGGAGUACGGUCGCAAGACUGAAACUCAAAGGAAUUGACGGGGGCCCGCACAAGCGGUGGAGCAUGUGGUUUAAUUCGAAGCAACGCGAAGAACCUUACCAGGUCUUGACAUCCUCUGACAACCCUAGAGAUAGGGCUUCCCCUUCGGGGGCAGAGUGACAGGUGGUGCAUGGUUGUCGUCAGCUCGUGUCGUGAGAUGUUGGGUUAAGUCCCGCAACGAGCGCAACCCUUGAUCUUAGUUGCCAGCAUUCAGUUGGGCACUCUAAGGUGACUGCCGGUGACAAACCGGAGGAAGGUGGGGAUGACGUCAAAUCAUCAUGCCCCUUAUGACCUGGGCUACACACGUGCUACAAUGGGCAGAACAAAGGGCAGCGAAGCCGCGAGGCUAAGCCAAUCCCACAAAUCUGUUCUCAAGUUCGGAUCGCAGUCCGCAACUCGACUGCGUGAAGCAGGACCGCGUAGUAACGGUGGGA